CCUUUUUCCAAUCACUGAACCUGACCUUCCCAUGAAGAAACGGGAAUGACUUUAUAAGACGAGAAUACCCCGUGGAGCUUCAAACUCAUCCUUUUCCUUUUGCAAACUACACGACAAUUAAAGGGAAAUAUCUGUUGGGUUUGGGUUGGGGUGACCACGGAGUAUAAAGCAACCUCCGCAAUGAAAAGAAUACCAUCCUUAACCAACAGUUACACCUCAAAUAAUUAAUAAAUUAACAUAUAAUGUUCCGAUACUUCAUAUUCGAUCAAUGAACCAGGUUACCCUGGCGACAACAACACCAUCUACUUUGAGAGUUCUUAUCAACAAGUAUGUUUACUACCUCGAUGUUGGAUCAUGGUAUCCCAGUGGUGCAUCGUCUACUAUUGGUUCGUUUGUUCCACGAUUACAACCCUACGUGAUCUGAGUUCAAACC
rnacentral:rRNA from 1 species